rnacentral:rRNA from 1 species
AGAGUUUGAUCCUGGCUCAGGACGAACGCUGGCGGCGCGCCUAACACAUGCAAGUCGAACGAGCAAAGAGGAGCUUGCUUCUCUGAGCGAGUGGCGAACGGGUGAGUAACGCGUGAGGAACCUGCCUCAAAGAGGGGGACAACAGUUGGAAACGACUGCUAAUACCGCAUAAGCCCACGGGUCGGCAUCGACCAGAGGGAAAAGGAGCAAUCCGCUUUGAGAUGGCCUCGCGUCCGAUUAGCUAGUUGGUGAGGUAACGGCCCACCAAGGCGACGAUCGGUAGCCGGACUGAGAGGUUGAACGGCCACAUUGGGACUGAGACACGGCCCAGACUCCUACGGGAGGCAGCAGUGGGGAAUAUUGCACAAUGGGGGAAACCCUGAUGCAGCGACGCCGCGUGGAGGAAGAAGGUCUUCGGAUUGUAAACUCCUGUUGUUGAGGAAGAUAAUGACGGUACUCAACAAGGAAGUGACGGCUAACUACGUGCCAGCAGCCGCGGUAAAACGUAGGUCACAAGCGUUGUCCGGAAUUACUGGGUGUAAAGGGAGCGCAGGCGGGAAGACAAGUUGGAAGUGAAAUCCAUGGGCUCAACCCAUGAACUGCUUUCAAAACUGUUUUUCUUGAGUAGUGCAGAGGUAGGCGGAAUUCCCGGUGUAGCGGUGGAAUGCGUAGAUAUCGGGAGGAACACCAGUGGCGAAGGCGGCCUACUGGGCACCAACUGACGCUGAGGCUCGAAAGUGUGGGUAGCAAACAGGAUUAGAUACCCUGGUAGUCCACACCGUAAACGAUGAUUACUAGGUGUUGGAGGAUUGACCCCUUCAGUGCCGCAGUUAACACAAUAAGUAAUCCACCUGGGGAGUACGACCGCAAGGUUGAAACUCAAAGGAAUUGACGGGGGCCCGCACAAGCAGUGGAGUAUGUGGUUUAAUUCGACGCAACGCGAAGAACCUUACCAAGUCUUGACAU